AAAUUGAAGAGUUUGAUCAUGGCUCAGAUUGAACGCUGGCGGCAGGCCUAACACAUGCAAGUCGAGCGGAAACGAGUUAUCUGAACCUUCGGGGAACGAUAACGGCGUCGAGCGGCGGACGGGUGAGUAAUGCCUAGGAAAUUGCCCUGAUGUGGGGGAUAACCAUUGGAAACGAUGGCUAAUACCGCAUAAUGCCUACGGGCCAAAGAGGGGGACCUUCGGGCCUCUCGCGUCAGGAUAUGCCUAGGUGGGAUUAGCUAGUUGGUGAGGUAAGGGCUCACCAAGGCGACGAUCCCUAGCUGGUCUGAGAGGAUGAUCAGCCACACUGGAACUGAGACACGGUCCAGACUCCUACGGGAGGCAGCAGUGGGGAAUAUUGCACAAUGGGCGCAAGCCUGAUGCAGCCAUGCCGCGUGUAUGAAGAAGGCCUUCGGGUUGUAAAGUACUUUCAGUCGUGAGGAAGGUAGUGUAGUUAAUAGCUGCAUUAUUUGACGUUAGCGACAGAAGAAGCACCGGCUAACUCCGUGCCAGCAGCCGCGGUAAUACGGAGGGUGCGAGCGUU
rnacentral:rRNA from 1 species